UCUCCGUAGGUGAACCUGCGGAAGGAUCAUUACCGAAUUGUCAACACGAGUUGUUGCUGGUCCCCAAACCGGGGGCACGUGCACGCUCUGUUUACGCAUCCACCCACACCUGUGCACCCUCUGUAGUUCUAUGGCCUGGGCGACUCUGUCCCCUCGCUGCGGUUCUACGUCUUUACACACACACUGCCAUAAAGUCUCAUGGAAUGUUUGCCGCGUUUAACGCAAUACAAUACAACUUUCAGCAACGGAUCUCUUGGCUCUC
rnacentral:misc_RNA from 1 species